CGCCUCUCAGGGUGGCACCUGGAGAGUUUCCGGUCCUCUACCAGUCUCGGCUACGGGAGGGAGAGUCAAGCGGAGGCCUGUCCGUUCCAUUCCUAGCUUGGCCAGUGGCUAGCGAGUGGAGGCCAAUCCGCUACAAGU
rnacentral:snoRNA from 1 species